CGCAGUCAAGUCAAAUUCAGCCCCUGUUCCUACUGUAGUGGGGGCUGGCCCAGAUGACUGCCACAGCAAGGCUGCAGCUCAUGGGCCCUGGGUCCCCCGCCCUGGGACUUGGGGAUAAGUUUGGCUGCACACAUGG
ensembl:snoRNA SNORA5C small nucleolar RNA, H/ACA box 5C